rnacentral:rRNA from 1 species
AAGUGAAAGGCUAUGGCUCAACCAUAGUAAGUCUUUUAGAAACUGUUAAACUUGAGUGCAGGAGAGGAAAGUGGAAUUCCUAGUGUAGAGGUGAAAUUCGUAGAUAUUAGGAGGAACACCAGUGGCGAAGGCGACUUUCUGGACUGUAACUGACGCUGAGGCACGAAAGCGUGGGGAGCGAACAGGAUUAGAUACCCUUGUAG